rnacentral:lncRNA from 1 species
CAAUACCGAGGCCUGCCACAGCCUGCCCUGCCCUGCUAAAGAAGAGCUAGCUGGGGAUGGGGCGGCAAGGCAAGCCCACCACAGCCGGCCACACCACGCAACCUGGCUGGCUCCAUCCCACAAGGAAACAGGAGGCCCCCACAUGAACCCGUGACAACACCCUAGCAACCACAACCGCUUGAAACCGGACCAGGACAAGGGACUUGCAAGGGUUUGCCGAGUGCGCCUG